CGACAGGCUUAACACAUGCAAGUCGAGGGGCAGCACAGGUAGCAAUACCGGGUGGCGACCGGCGCACGGGUGAGUAACGCGUACGCAACUUGCCUAUCAGAGGGGGAUAACCCGGCGAAAGUCGGACUAAUACCGCAUGAAGCAGGGAUCCCGCAUGGGAAUAUUUGCUAAAGAUUCAUCGCUGAUAGAUAGGCAUGCGUUCCAUUAGGCAGUUGGCGGGGUAACGGCCCACCAAACCGACGAUGGAUAGGGGUUCUGAGAGGAAGGUCCCCCACAUUGGUACUGAGACACGGACCAAACUCCUACGGGAGGCAGCAGUGAGGAAUAUUGGUCAAUGGCCGAGAGGCUGAACCAGCCAAGUCGCGUGAGGGAUGAAGGUUCUAUGGAUCGUAAACCUCUUUUAUAAGGGAAUAAAGUGCGGGACGUGUCCCGUUUUGUAUGUACCUUAUGAAUAAGGAUCGGCUAACUCCGUGCCAGCAGCCGCGGUAAUACGGAGGAUCCGAGCGUUAUCCGGAUUUAUUGGGUUUAAAGGGUGCGUAGGCGGCCUUUUAAGUCAGCGGUGAAAGUCUGUGGCUCAACCAUAGAAUUGCCGUUGAAACUGGGGGGCUUGAGUAUGUUUGAGGCAGGCGGAAUGCGUGGUGUAGCGGUGAAAUGCAUAGAUAUCACGCAGAACCCCGAUUGCGAAGGCAGCCUGCCAAGCCAUGACUGACGCUGAUGCACGAAAGCGUGGGGAUCAAACAGGAUUAGAUACCCUGGUAGUCCACGCAGUAAACGAUGAUCACUAGCUGUUUGCGAUACACUGUAAGCGGCACAGCGAAAGCGUUAAGUGAUCCACCUGGGGAGUACGCCGGCAACGGUGAAACUCAAAGGAAUUGACGGGGGCCCGCACAAGCGGAGGAACAUGUGGUUUAAUUCGAUGAUACGCGAGGAACCUUACCCGGGUUUGAACGCAUUCGGACCGAGGUGGAAACACCUUUUCUAGCAAUAGCCGUUUGCGAGGUGCUGCAUGGUUGUCGUCAGCUCGUGCCGUGAGGUGUCGGCUUAAGUGCCAUAACGAGCGCAACCCUUGCCACUAGUUACUAACAGGUAAAGCUGAGGACUCUGGUGGGACUGCCAGCGUAAGCUGCGAGGAAGGCGGGGAUGACGUCAAAUCAGCACGGCCCUUACAUCCGGGGCGACACACGUGUUACAAUGGCGUGGACAAAGGGAAGCCACCUGGCGACAGGGAGCGAAUCCCCAAACCACGUCUCAGUUCGGAUCGGAGUCUGCAACCCGACUCCGUGAAGCUGGAUUCGCUAGUAAUCGCGCAUCAGCCAUGGCGCGGUGAAUACGUUCCCGGGCCUUGUACACACCGCCCGUCAAGCCAUGGGAGCCGGGGGUACCUGAAGUCCGUAACCGCGAGGAUCGGCCUAGGGUAAAACUGGUGACUGG
rnacentral:rRNA from 1 species